rnacentral:lncRNA from 10 species
CCAGCCAGUCACCAGCCGGCUAUGCUGUGACCCCGGGAGUGAGAACAAAGGUGGCGGAGGGAGCCGUGGACUGGUGCCAAAUGAGCAGCCCAAGCAGGACACUGGGGCCCCCUGUGAGUGGCCAGCAGCCCCCACCUCCCUCCCUGCCUCUUGCCUCUCGUGUGUGGCUCUGCCACCUGCACACCGUCACCUCAGUCUGGUCGGGAGUGGAAUGGACACCGUCACCUCAGUCUGGUCGGGAGUGGAAUGGACACCGUCACCUCAGUCUGGUCGGGAGUGGAAUGGACACCAUCACCUCAGUCUGGUCGGGAGUGGAAUGGGACACGGGUUGUCGGAACUUGCUGGGCUUCACAGGGGCCACUGUGUGGCCCUUUGGGGACCAGAUGCCCAGAGCCAGUCUAAAUGAAUAAACAUGCUAAAACGCUUCCCCACCAUUUCCCAUACUCGGCGUCCCCAUGGUUGAGUGGGUUGUUCCUGGGUGUGAUGGGGACAAACCCUGUGCUCUGUUCUGCCUCACUAAGCCAGGGGCUGCCCUCACUGAAGGGCCUUGACCGCCUGGUUCCCGGCCCCACCCUGACUGCCUCCUGCUCCAGGACGCAUCCAGCCAGCACGGGCUGUUCCCUCCGAGUGUCAGGUGUCUCGGGUGUCCUGAGGCCUGGCUCCAAGGUUCACACCCUCCCUGGUGGUGGGGGCAGGGGAGGUCCCCGGAGUGAGCAGCUCCUCCCGCUGGGCCCCUGCUAAGUCCCAGCUGUGCCCUUGGUCUUAUUUAUAGGGUCCUGGUGGCCUGGCAGGAACUUGAAGACCUGGGGCUG